AUCCCAGAACCCUGGAAUCAUGACUUGAGCCGAAGGCAGAGGUUUUAACCCACUGAGCCACCCAGGCGCCCCAGACAAGGAGAGACUCUUAGCAUCAUCAUUUGACUGGUUCCUUCAGGCAGAGAUCUGGGAGAACAAAAUGAUAAACACUUUUCCAGCGGUUUGUGGAAGAAAGCUGAUCUUCCAUCUAGUAGACCCAAAGUGCCUGAAACAAAAUGGAUAUUUAUGGAUAAACCUCUUAGGGCUACAGAUUCAUCAUUUCGCUUUGUUUCUCUGAGAAGCUCAGGAGAGUUUUGUGAUUUACUAGCUGGGGAGUAAUUUAUUUAUUGCUGACAGCUGGGCUCUGAAAGAGGAACCAGCACAAAUAUCAAUAUAGAAUGGCACAAAAUAAGGAUUACCAGAAUAUUGUGUCUUCUCUUAUGAUAUUGGGGGCCAAAUAGUCAAAUGUUGAUUGGAAUUAACAUUUUAUAUGAGAUUGUCAUGCCAAUGACACGGGAUCUUCAGGGUAUUCCUAAAGAUUCUUCUGUCAUUUGACUUUCACAGAAGAAAAAGAGAAAACAUGGUAUUAGAUGACUUAGUUCUAAAGCUGUGAUAGCUGGCAGGAAGUAAAUGACUUUAUUGGAAGAUUGGAAAAUAUCAAGAAUUUUGACACAGUUACAGCACAAUGCAGGCUCUGUUUUCCCAAAAUAAAGCCUAGGUAAGUGCAGAUAAUCAUAUUAGCAUACAAAAAGACACAAACCUGGAGUUACAAUAUUAACCUCUCCUGCCUGGGCCACACUGAGGCACAGAAUAAUAUACUGCCUUAGCACUGGCUAACUUGUAACAAGGUCCAGGCUUGAUUCCAAGAUGACCCUGGGGUUGUUUUGGCAAGAAGCCCUAGAUCAAAACAUGUGAUAUGUGGAGACACCAGGAGACCUAUCUAGAAGAAUGUUGCUAUAGCCAUUGUCAGAGAAAUUACUGCAUUUGUUAUCUCCAAGAAUUUUUAUGGUGUCAGAUCUCCAUUUAAGUCUUUAAUCCAUGGUGAGUUUAUUUUUGUGAAUGGUGAAAGAAGAUGUUCCAGUUUCAUUCA